rnacentral:lncRNA from 1 species
CUCCAUACAAUUACAUACAUUCCCUGCUUCCCCCAGGCAGCCGGAUUAUGAAAGAUAUUAUAACAACAGCAGGACUCCUAAAAAAACACAGGAAAACCACUUCUAUAAAGAGGUUCCUGUCAUCACGUGCAUCACAUCCGGAUUACCAAUGCACAAAGCUUACGUGUCAGUAUAUCACAAAACCCUACAAAUAGGUUAAGCGGUCCAGGAGGCACAGAACGAUCACCAGAGUAUUCUGCCUCAGUAGUCUGCUCUUGCUGCUCAACUUGAGAUCUGAGUAAAGCUUCAGCAAUGCGUUUGCGCUGGCUUUUCGUGGUUGCCCUUCUGUUUUCUGAGAUGCUUAUGUUUUCUGCAGGACAAUAUAACAAAAAGGAAGGUGAAGCUAAAUGUGAAAAUAUAGGAGGCUUCUGCGAUGAAGAAUACUGUCCUUCGGACCACAGGCAAAAGAUGCUCUGCUAUGAAAAGGCACCUUGCUGCGUACCAUUAAAAUAAUGGAAAUAAAAAGCCCAGUUUCAUGCCUUCAAAAUUAUGCUGGCUAUGAAUAAAUGUU